rnacentral:rRNA from 1 species
UACGGAGGGUGCAAGCGUUGUUCGGAAUUACUGGGCGUAAAGCGCGUGUAGGCGGUUGGGCAAGUCAGAUGUGAAAGCCUUCUGCUUAACGGAAGAAGUGCAUUUGAAACUACCCGGCUGGAGUACGGGAGAGGAGAGUGGAAUUCCCGGUGUAGAGGUGAAAUUCGUAGAUAUCGGGAGGAACACCAGUGGCGAAGGCGGCUCUCUGGUCCGAUACUGACGCUGAGACGCGAAAGCGUGGGGAGCAAACAGG